AGUACAUUCUUUUGACAAAAAAAUUCUUUCGACACAGUACAUCACUUAGAAACGCGCUAGUUCAAAAUUCAUAUAUUUUUUGAAGAAUUUUUGGCACACAAAGAUUUCUCUUUUCUUCUACUAGAGCUUCGAAUUGGUAAUUUUUUUUAUCCUAUUUGAUUUCUCAUAAUUGUUUACUUUCCCCAUUUCUUAGAGUUUGUUACUUCUCUGCUUACCUCUCAUGUGUUUCCUUCAAUACCUCUUGUGCGUUUUCCUUUCAGCAGUGUCGUUUAGUGAUGGAUUUUCUUCCAUUUCUCAGAAUUUGUUACUUCUUUGCCUACCUCUUUGUGCGUUUUAAUUCCGGCAGUGCACGUUUUUCUUCCGGUGGUGCGUUUAGUGGUGGAUUUUCCUUCUGUCGGAGUCUUUCACGGGUUCAGAACCAUUUCUUAGAAAAUUAUAUCCGGUUAGUCUCUGUUUCGCUCUUACACAUCACUAUUACAAUCAUUUUUCUAGAGCGAAAUGCACACUUUCAAUCACUGUAUCAGAAUAUAGGUUAUACAAAAACACGGUUUUUUUGUUAGCAGGAAUAUCGUGUCUUCGAUUUGUUAGCUGAAAGUGUGCUUUUCUGUUUUGUUUUGGUUGUUGUAUUUUAGUUUUGAUAGUUGCAUCGUCAGCUGCUUUGUUUUGUCUGAAUAUGAAAUUCUGUUAAAGCUCUAUUUAGAGAAAUGCUAGUAGCAGUGGUAUGGCAUGUUUCAUAUCAGAACAGUGUAAGGGAGGUAGUUGCCAUUUUGUAUUUCUGCACUGAGCUGUUACAUUUUGUUUUUCUCUUUCUUUCUGUUUUUACUUGAGUGCACGUACGGUCUUGGUGUCUUGAUUUGUGUGUGCCUCAAUCCAUGCGGAUGAAGGGUAUUGACUAGUGUAAGGGAAUAGUGGAAAUGUAUUGUUUCAGCUGAAUAACCCAUUCUCCCUUUGUUUGGUCUUGCACGAGGAUGCAGUUUAGAUUGCUUUAAAAUUUGUUUGGCUAUUGCUGCAUUCCACACCUGUGAAUGCCUUUAUUUGUAGUAGAGAUAGUGUUUUGACAAGUUUUUAUUUAGUUGAACGUAGUUGUAAGUAUUAAACAACGUAUGAGAUCUCACCCAUUCAUGCUGGUGGUGAUCGAGACUUAAAAAACAAUGGCUAAAUAUUUGUGGGGCUGCACUUGCACCUUAAUUUUUCAAGUUUUGUACUUCAGAUUCCACCUUUAAUUUUUGGCAAAUUAGAAGAUGUAAAAAAUGUAGAAUUGAAUGUGGUUAGUGCCCUUCGUGGCAUGCUAAUUAACAUGAACUUUACGAGACCAGAAAAUCCAACAUAUAGUAAAUUUGACUUCAACUUUAAGUAAACUUAAUAAAUUUAUCGAGUUACUACCUGAUAAGUUGAAGAACUAAAUAUUUGAAGAACUUUGUGGUCCCCAUAUUACCUUUGUGUGCACCUGGACAUCAAAUAAAUCUAAAUACAUCUGUCUUAUUGUAUUAUAUUUACCUCGAAACUUAUUGUAUCUUAUUCGAGUAGAUUUACAACACAAUUUUUUACCAUGAUAAUUAAUUUCGAUGUAUAAAGGAAAGGAAAGACUUAUCUCAAUAGAACGUGACAAAAGUAUUUUCAAAAGUAUAACUCAGUUCAACCACGAGUAUGAUCGAGAGCAGGAGUCUCUCCCAUAAAGUGCAUCAUAAAUUGUAGGUUAAUUAUCUCACAUUUUUAUUUUAUACUAAGUAUUUUAAUUAUUCACAUUUAUUUAUUCAUAUUAUUUAUAUUUUUUUUACAGGUAUUCACAGAUUACGUCAGUAUUGGAUCCAUCUUAUAUUUUUGUUCACAUUCUUUUAUGUAAUUGAAUUAUCAAACAUUUUAAGUUUUAAUACUUUUAGUUAAAUUGUAAAGUACAAUUUUAAUUUGAAGUUUUGUUUAACUAUUUGAAUUAUUUUUAUAUUGUGAAUGUGUUGUGAAUGAUAGUAAUUUGUUAGGUUGAAUUCUGAAUGUGAU
rnacentral:lncRNA from 1 species